GACGAACGCUGGCGGCGUGCUUAACACAUGCAAGUCGAACGGAAAGGCCCUGCUUUUGUGGGGUGCUCGAGUGGCGAACGGGUGAGUAACACGUGAGUAACCUGCCCUUGACUUUGGGAUAACUUCAGGAAACUGGGGCUAAUACCGGAUAGGAGCUCCUGCUGCAUGGUGGGGGUUGGAAAGUUUCGGCGGUUGGGGAUGGACUCGCGGCUUAUCAGCUUGUUGGUGGGGUAGUGGCUUACCAAGGCUUUGACGGGUAGCCGGCCUGAGAGGGUGACCGGCCACAUGGGGACUGAGAUACGGCCCAGUCUCCUACGGGAGGCAGCAGUGGGGAAUAUUGCACAAUGGGCGGAAGCCUGAUGCAGCAACGCCGCGUGCGGGAUGACGGCCUUCGGGUUGUAAACCGCUUUCGCCUGUGACGAAGCGUGAGUGACGGUAAUGGGUAAAGAAGCACCGGCUAACUACGUG
rnacentral:rRNA from 1 species